CAGCAGCCGCCGCGGGAAUACAGAGGGUGCGAGCGUUAAUCGGAUUUACUGGGCGUAAAGCGUGCGUAGGCGGCUUUUUAAGUCGGAUGUGAAAUCCCUGAGCUUAACUUAGGAAUUGCAUUCGAUACUGGGAAGCUAGAGUAUGGGAGAGGAUGGUAGAAUUCCAGGUGUAGCGGUGAAAUGCGUAGAGAUCUGGAGGAAUACCGAUGGCGAAGGCAGCCAUCUGGCCUAAUACUGACGCUAAGGUACGAAAGCAUGGGGAGCAAACAGGAUUAGAUACCCCCGUAGUCCCUGUCUCUUAUAC
rnacentral:rRNA from 1 species